rnacentral:rRNA from 1 species
CCCCCCACCAAGUCAUACCAUGCAAGUCGAGCGGAACGGCAGUAUUGAAGCUUCGGUGGAUUUACUGGACGUCGAGCGGCGGACGGGUGAGUAACGGCUGGGAACCUGCCCUGACGAGGGGGAUAACCGUUGGAAACGACGGCUAAUACCGCAUAAUGUCUUGAUUCGUUAGAGUCAGGACCAAAGGUGGCUUUUACAUGUAAGCUAUCGCGUUGGGAUGGGCCCAGUUAGGAUUAGCUAGUUGGUAAGGUAAUGGCUUACCAAGGCAACGAUCCUUAGCUGGUUUGAGAGGAUGAUCAGCCACACUGGGACUGAGACACGGCCCAGACUCCUACGGGAGGCAGCAGUGGGGAAUAUUGCACAAUGGGGGAGACCCUGAUGCAGCCAUGCCGCGUGUGUGAAGAAGGCCUUCGGGUUGUAAAGCACUUUCAGCAGUGAGGAAGGUCGUGUACUUAAUACGUGCACGGCUUGACGUUAGCUGCAGAAGAAGCACCGGCUAACUCCGUGCCAGCAGCCGCGGUAAUACGGAGGGUGCGAGCGUUAAUCGGAAUUUCUGGGCGUAAAGCGCAUGCAGGCGGUUUGUUAAGUCAGAUGUGAAAGCCCGGGGCUCAACCUCGGAACCGCAUUUGAAACUGGCAGGCUAGAGUCUUGUAGAGGGGGGUAGAAUUUCAGGUGUAGCGGUGAAAUGCGUAGAGAUCUGAAGGAAUACCAGUGGCGAAGGCGGCCCCCUGGACAAAGACUGACGCUCAGAUGCGAAAGCGUGGGUAGCAAACAGGAUUAGAUACCCUGGUAGUCCACGCCGUAAACGCUGUCUACUUGGAGGUUGAGGUUUUAGACUUUGGCUUUCGGCGCUAACGCAUUAAGUAGACCGCCUGGGGAGUACGGCCGCAAGGUUAAAACUCAAAUGAAUUGACGGGGGCCCGCACAAGCGGUGGAGCAUGUGGUUUAAUUUCGAUGCAACGCGAAGAACCUUACCUACCUCUUGACAUCCAGCGAAGCCUUUUAGAGAUAGAGGCGUGCCUUCGGGAGCCGCUGAGACAGGUGCUUGCAUGCUGUCGUCAGCCUCCGUGUGUGAAUGGUGGGUUAGUCCCGCACGAGCGCACUUAUCUGCUGCAAGCACGAUAUGCUGCACCUCCAGCAGAACCUGCCCG